rnacentral:rRNA from 1 species
AUUGAACGCUGGCGGCAGGCCUAACACAUGCAAGUCGAACGAGUGGCGGACGGGUGAGUAAUGUCUGGGAAACUGCCCGAUGGAGGGGGAUAACUACUGGAAACGGUAGCUAAUACCGCAUACCAUAGGAUGUGCCCAGAUGGGAUUAGCUUGUAGGUGAGGUAACGGCUCACCUAGGCGUCGAUCCCUAGCUGGUCUGAGAGGAUGACCAGACAAACUGGCAAGGAGACACGGUCCAGACGCUGACGGGGGGCAGCAGUGGGGAAGAUUGCACUAUGGGUGAAAGGCUGCUGCAGACAUGUGGCUUGUAUGAAAAGGGCAUUCGGGUUGUAAAGUAUUUUCAGCGGGGGGGCGUUACCCGCAGAAGAAGCACCGGUUAACUCCGUGCCAGCAGACGCGGUAAUAC